rnacentral:rRNA from 1 species
AACCAUUUGCUUACAAUCAUUCAGAGCCCUAUGUAGCAAUACAGGGUGAUGGACUGCCUUUUGCAUAAUGAGCCUGCGAGUUGUGGUGUCUGGCAAGGUUAAGCAAACGCGAAGCCGUAGCGAAAGCGAGUCUGAAUAGGGCGCUUAGUCAGAUGCUGCAGACCCGAAACGAAGUGAUCUAUCCAUGAGCAAGUUGAAGCUAGUGUAAGAACUAGUGGAGGACUGAACCCAUAGGCGUUGAAAAGCCCCGGGAUGACUUGUGGAUAGGGGUGAAAGGCCAAUCAAACUUCGUGAUAGCUGGUUCUCUCCGAAAUAUAUUUAGGUAUAGCGUUGUGUCGUAAUAUAAGGGGGUAGAGCACUGAAUGGGCUAGGGCAUACACCAAUGUACCAAACCCUAUCAAACUCCGAAUACCUUAUAUGUAAUCACAGCAGUCAGGCGGCGAGUGAUAAAAUCCGUCGUCAAGAGGGAAACAACCCAGACUACCAGCUAAGGUCCCUAAAUCUUACUUAAGUGGAAAACGAUGUGAAGUUACUUAAACAACCAGGAGGUUGGCUUAGAAGCAGCCAUCCUUUAAAGAAAGCGUAAUAGCUCACUGGUCUAGUGAUUUUGCGCGGAAAAUAUAACGGGGCUAAAGUAAGUACCGAAGCUGUAGACUUAGUUUACUAAGUGGUAGGAGAGCGUUCUAUUUGCGUCGAAGGUAUACCGGUAAGGAGUGCUGGAGCGAAUAGAAGUGAGCAUGCAGGCAUGAGUAGCGAUAAU